rnacentral:rRNA from 1 species
AGCGAACGCUGGCGGCAGGCUUAACACAUGCAAGUCGAGCGGGCACUUCGGUGUCGGCGGCAGACGGGUGAGUAACACGUGGGAACGUGCCCUUCGGUUCGGAAUAACUCAGGGAAACUUGAGCUAAUACCGGAUACGCCCUUUUGGGGAAAGGUUUACUGCCGAAGGAUCGGCCCGCGUCUGAUUAGCUAGUUGGUGGGGUAAUGGCCUACCAAGGCGACGACGGGUAGGCUGGUCUGAGAGGANGGCCAGCCACAUUGGGACUGAGAAACGGCCCAGACUCCUACGGGAGGCAGCAGUGGGGAAGUCUUGCGCAAUGGACGAAAGUCUGACGCAGCGACGCCGCGGU